GUCCUUUUGAAUUUAAUUUAAGGUCUGGCCUGCCCAGUGAUUAAUUUAACGGCCGCGGUAUAUUGACCGUGCAAAGGUAGCAUAAUCAUUAGUCUUUUAAUAGAGGGCUGGAAUGAAAGGUUUAACGAGGAACUGACUGUCUCAUUUUAUUUGUAUUAAAAUUUAAUUUUUUAGUUAAAAAGCUAAAAUUUAAUUGGAAGACGAGAAGACCCUAUAGAUCUUUAUAUAGCCUAUUAAAUUUGUAACAUAUUAAUACAUUUUAUGAAAGCUGUAUUUUGUUGGGGUGACAAAAAUAUAAAACUAACUUUUUUAUCAAUUAACCAUUAAUUUAUGAAAAUUAGAUCCACUCUUAGUGAUUAUUAGACUAAGUUACCUUAGGGAUAACAGCGUAAUCCCCUUCCAGAGUUCAUAUUUACAAGGGGGCUUGCGACCUCGAUGUUGGAUUAAGAUAAUAAUUAGGUGUAGUCGCUUAAUAUAUAGGUCUGUUCGACCUUUAAAUUCUU
rnacentral:rRNA from 1 species